rnacentral:lncRNA from 9 species
GGCGAGCGUAGCGUAGCUGCGGUUCACAGGCAGCUGCAUUUCUAGGUCGGGAGAUAGGCCGGCGUGUGCAGGAGGGCUGCUCUGGACGACUGAAGCAGGUGAAGAGAGAGCGGUAGACCUUCUGUUCAGCUGAAGCCCCCUUGGUCGCUUUGCCCACACCUGUGCACGCGGACCAGGGUGCGGCCUCUCUGCUCCAGGGAGGACGGUACACGUGACCCGGUGAGAGCGAGCCUGCAGUGUGGCCGGCGUCCCCAUUCAGAGAAGCUCCUGGGGCAGCGAGUCACUGGCGGCACUCUCUCAGCUGAGCACAUAGUGUGGGCCCCUGACUCCACGGCUUCCUGAAUUGGCAGAGCUGGUUUUUGACAGUGUGGACGGCAGCGGGGGUUGUCCCGGCCAGCCGCAGGCAGUGCAUCAGGACGAAGAAUCUCCCAGCCGUUCCCAAAGAGGAAGGAGUGCGUCCAUUGCAGCUACAAAGAAAUCAGUGGACUACUUUCAACUUGAACUUGGCAUACCGCAAGUACUCUUUUUAGAGAGUUACCUGUUUUCUGCUUCUAUCGUAUGUGAAACUCUUGUUCCUUUCAAUGUUUUAAAAGGCUGAAUUAGCGUAAAAGU